rnacentral:rRNA from 1 species
AUGAGAUAUCUGGGAGUGCCUGUAAGCUUUUCCACUCUACGAGCUCUUGACUGGAGUUUUGUGGAUGAGAAAUUCCUUAAAUGUUGUGAGUCCUGGAUUGGUAAUUCGGCUUCCUCUGGGGGAAGAUUGACACUCCUUAAUUCUUCCCUUACAAGCAUCAUUUACUACUAUAUGUCUAUGUUCAUGCUCCGUAAAAAGAUCAUUGAGAAGUUGGACAAGCACAGAAAAAAGUUCUUUUGGCAGGAAACUGGUGGUCGGAAAAGAUACCAUUUGGUUAAAUGGUAUAGAAUUUGUAGAUCCAAAAAUAAGGGGGGAUUAGGAGUAAAAGAUCUCCAUGAACAAAAUAUUAGCCUCCUCACCAAAUGGUGGUGGAAGCUGGAGAUACAACAAGGCCUUUGGCAAGAUGUGGUUCGGGCCAAGUACUUUAAAAAUGAUACAGUAUCCUCGGUGAAGUGUAAAUUUGGGGAUUCCCCCAUUUGGAAGGCCAUUUUAAAAGUCAAAGAGAUAUACUUGGCUGGGAGAGAGGUGGUCUUGAAAUCUGGAGAUAUUACUAGACUGUGGAGUGACACUAUUCUGGGGGAGCCCCCUUUGCGAAAUCGAUUCUCAGCUCUAUUUGGUAUUUGUAACUACCAAGAGAUUACAGUGCCUGAUUUUAAGAAUUUUACGGGCAAUGAUUUCUUUAGAAGACGGCUGCACCCUCCUCUUGUAGAUCAGUGGAUCAAGCUGGCAGGGGUGGUGAAAUCCUGGCCAGUGUCAACGGAACCUGACCAGGUUAGCUGGGCCCUUGGUAGGAAGAAAAAUUUCACUACAAAAUCAUUCUAUGUCUACCUGGAGAGACAGUUGGUAGGAUGUGACUAUAGGUGGAUCUGGAAAGCUAAGAUACCCCUUAAAAUUCAGAUUUUCCUUUGGCAGCUGUUCCAAGAUGCCAUUCUGACUAGAGAGGUCAUGAAAAAUAGAAAAUGA